UACGAAGGGGGCUAGCGUUGUUCGGAAUUACUGGGCGUAAAGCGCGCGCAGGCGGUUUUUCAAGUCAGUGGUGAAAGCCCGGAGCUCAACUCCGGAAAUGCCAUUGAAACUGUAAAACUUGAGGACGAGAGAGGUGAGUGGAAUUCCCAGUGUAGAGGUGAAAUUCGUAGAUAUUGGGAAGAACACCGGUGGUGAAGGCGACUCGCUGGACAAGUAUUGACGCUGAGGUGCGAAAGCGUGGGGAGCAAACAGG
rnacentral:rRNA from 1 species